GGUGUUGUAGCUCAGUGGUAGAGCACAUGCUUUGCAUGUGUGAGGCACUGGGUUUGAUCCUCAGUACCA
rnacentral:tRNA from 1 species